rnacentral:rRNA from 1 species
UUGGAGGGCAAGUCUGGUGCCAGCAGCCGCGGUAAUUCCAGCUCCAAUAGCGUAUAUUAAAGUUGUUGCAGUUAAAAAGCUCGUAGUUGAAUUUCGGGGUUAGUAAGUUGGUCAUGCCUCCGGUAUGCACUGGCUUUACUGAUUCCUCCUUCUUGAUGAACUGUAAUGUCAUUAAUUUGGUGUUGCAGGGAAUCAGGACUGUUACUUUGAAAAAAUUAGAGUGUUUAAAGCAGGCAUACGCUUGAAUACAUUAGCAUGGAAUAAUGAAAUAGGACGUUGAUCCUAUUUUGUUGGUUUCUAGGAUUGACGUAAUGAUUAAUAGGGAUAGUUGGGGGCAUUAGUAUUCAAUUGUCAGAGGUGAAAUUCUUGGAUUUAUUGAAGACUAACUACUGCGAAAGCAUUUGCCAAGGAUGUUUUCAUUAAUCAAGAACGAAAGUUAGGGGAUCGAAGACGAUCAGAUACCGUCGUAGUCUUAACCAUAAACUAUGCCGACUAGGGAUCGGAUGAUGUUAUUUUUAAUGACUCAUUCGGCGCCUUACGGGAAAC